UCUAGUCAUAAGAUUGCUUGACAUUCUUGAGGUACUAUUACAAAAAAACACUUCAUCUUUCUUGCCACUACAUUCAAAUGUUGUAUGACAAACGCCUGUUAUGUGUAUUUUCUCUCCAGUGUAUGACCUUAUUGUCAUCUUAGUUGCCUUGAUUUCAGGUUUUUUUUACUAGCUUUUGGUACUCACUCAGGGGUAAGACAUUUACUUAGGCACCCGUAUCCAAUUUGAAUUUGAUCUUUGUUCCUUCUACUUGUGCCUGUAUUAGCCAAUCAAUCAUUUUGUUUCAUGUGUUUUCUGUAUUACACUAGAAAAAGAUCUCUGUCCUUUUCUGUUUCCUUUUGUGUGUUGUCAUAAACAGUUCCGGCACAUUCUUGGUUUGCAUGUGACGUCACGCUCAUUAGCAUAACCACCCGGCGGCCAUGUUGGAAGUCUAAACACAUUUCGCGGCGCAAGUGCAAACGCUCGAAAGUUUGAUAACAAACUCAUCAAAAACAAACAAAAGGGGCGUUUUGUUAUACUGUUGUUAUAGCUGCAUAAAAAUAUUACCCACAUGUAUAUUCACUUGAUGACAAAGGAUUUUAGAAUGAUUAAAUAAUCAAGAAAGAUGUCAGGAAUAAGUGGUUAGUCAAGGGGAUCCAAACUAACAACAGACACCAAAACAGAUUGGUUUUCUGCGAUCAUUUCAUCAACUGAUGCUGUUAUACCUACAAUAUUAUAGACGAGGAGAAAAAUGCGAAUAUGUCCUAUGAGACUAUGGCCUUUAGUGAACAACAAAUUUGUUUUAGAAAAACACAAACUGUUCAUGAGCUGUACCCUAGACACAUUGCAAUAACUCAGACUUCUAAAAGCUUCUUUCAAGGUUUAUUUCACCCAUUGCUUACUCUUGAUCAGAUUGUAUGAAGGUAUUAUUAGCAUCUAAAGGGUGGCAAAUGUUUAAUCUAAGAGCUUGAAUCAAUAAGUAAUUUAUUUUAAAAUUGUCGAAAUCCAUAGCAAUUAAUAUCCAGGAAAGUAAUCCCCAAUUGAUGGUAUUUUGCUUGCUUCUGGUGGUAGAGGACUGUAAGUUGCCAUUAUCACUAUACCAAUCCUGGUUAACACUAGUUAGUUUGUGAUAUAAAAAAAUAGCACAACAAACUGUUCUGUAUUUUUAUUUUUUUAUAAGUUCCAUAAUCCUAAGGCAAUUUUGGAAUGUGCAUUGGUGGAUCCAAGGGAUGGGGGGGGGGCAUGCCACUCUCCCACACCCCUUUCAUAACAUCCUGAUGUGUGGGAUGCUUACAACACUGUUCCUUUGUUCUAAUUGUUUUUAUCUGAGGAGAUGGCUGGUGCCAAACAAAGAUUUUAGCCUGUUAUUGCUUUACUAAAUACCAUUUGUACCUCUUGAGGUCAUUUGCACAAACUAUUUGUGAAUGAAUAACAUCAAUUUAAAAAAAUCAAACAAAUAAAAGAAUGCACUUAAUUUUCUGAAGAAACUGAUUUUUAUCACAUCUACAUUUGUUUUGCACCUUUUGAUCUGGUUUGCACAAACUAUUUUGUAAUUUAAAGUAGAAAAACAAAUGCACUGGGUAGGAAAAUAUGAUGUAGCUCUCUCUACUCCAAUUAAUGAUUCCUAUGUGGUUAUGAUACAUGCCCAUAGACUCUCAGAGAAAUGCUUAUUAAGUACUGCACUUCCCUCACUUUACUAAUAAAAGCCAACAGUGGUAUUUGA